CUUGGCUUUGCUGAUGGUUACUUCAGCAGCGCUUCCUCCAGUGCCAGAACUGCUUUCUAUAGCUGUAGCUUCGCUGUCCUACCCUGCUCGGCCAUGUGUGAAACCGGUUGCCUGCUUUCCUCCAGACCUCUCACAAGCAGCAUCCUGCCAGGACCUCUCUCUCCGGCCGGAGACCAGUU